UACAGAGGUCUCAAGCGUUGUUCGGAUUCAUUGGGCGUAAAGGGUGCGUAGGCGGCGCGGUAAGUCGGGUGUGAAAUCUCGGAGCUUAACUCCGAAACUGCAUUCGAUACUGCCGUGCUUGAGGACUGGAGAGGAGACUGGAAUUUACGGUGUAGCGGUGGAAUGCGUAGAGAUCCGGAAGAACACCGGUGGCGAAGGCGGCCUGCUGGGCUAUGGCUGACACUGAGGCGCGACAGCGUGGGGAGCAAACAGGG
rnacentral:rRNA from 1 species